GACGAACGCUGGCGGCGUGCUUAACACAUGCUAGUCGAACGAUGAACCCGGAGCUUGCUCCGGUGGAUUAGUGGCGAACGGGUGAGUAACACGUGAGUAACCUGCCCUUGACUCUGGGAUAACUGCGGGAAACUGUAGCUAAUACCGGAUACGACCCUCGGAGGCAUCUCCUGGGGGUGGAAAGAAUUUCGGUCAAGGAUGGACUCGCGGCCUCUCAGCUAGUUGGUGAGGUAAUGGCUCACCAAGGCGCCGACGGGUAGCCGGCCUGAGAGGGUGACCGGCCACACUGGGACUGAGACACGGCCCAGACUCCUACGGGAGGCAGCAGUGGGGAAUAUUGCACAAUGGGCGGAAGCCUGAUGCAGCAACGCCGCGUGAGGGAUGACGGCCUUCGGGUUGUAAACCUCUUUUAGCAGGGAAGAAGCGAGAGUGACGGUACCUGCAGAAAAAGCACCGGCUAACUACGUGCCAGCCGCCGCCGUAA
rnacentral:rRNA from 1 species